UAUUGUGAGGGUGAUCUGGCUGCAACAGCUGUCACCCUAUUGAUCAACAGGGUUGAUUGGGCUGGUCUGGAUGGCUAGGCGGGUGUCCCCUUCUUCCCUUACUGCUCCAUGUGCAUCCCUCCCGAAGCUACAAACUCAAAGAGGAUUACCAUCUCUGAUAGAGGAGGACCAGUCUGCAGUCAAAGAUAUACAAUAGCUAUGCUCCUCUGCUAGAACCUCCAAACAAGCUCUCAAGGCCCAGGUGGGCUCUUUGAGGCAUUCUUACCUUGAGAAGUUGGGUAAACUUAGAAAGAAAGUGACAUCUGAAGUAGAAGCUCACUAUCAAGUCAGCAGGACUCCAAGACUGAGUGCUUAGUCAUCUCUCUUU
ensembl:misc_RNA 7SK 7SK RNA